GUUCUUGCUUGCUUUUUCCCAAGUGUUGUAGAUGUGAACAGGUCUCAAAAUUAGGCGUGCAUCCGAAGGGUUGCUGUGAACACUCCUUAUUUCAUAGUAUUGCAUUCUUCCAUGGAGCUAGAGAAUCAGGUAAGAGAAAAAAGUGAAUGUGGUUAUGGAAGGAGGGAAGAAAAGAAAGAGAAAGGAAAGGAAGGGAGAAAAAGAUGAAAAGAAAGGAAGUGAGGGAAGAACUGGGGGGAGAAGGAAGUAAAGGAAUGAAAAGAGGAGGAAAAAAGAAAGGAGGGAGAAAGAGAGAGGAGAGAGAGGCCCGUUGUUGUCAAACCCUGGCUGGUUUACACUGAGGAGCCAGAUAGCCUCUCAGUGAAAAGCUGAGAUUAAGCUCACAACAUAAUUUCCAUUAUGUUAAUGUUGCUUUAAAAUAUAUUGCACAGAGUGCUGCAACAAUCAAAUUAUCAAUUAUAAUGUCUACUCAGAGUAGAAAAGUGUUACAAACAGAGGGCUGAUUACUGCUUCAGUACAUCCAAUCUGCAUACUCAUUGUUCAGUACAGGGAAAACAAAUUAUCUUGUGUUGGCCCCAGUUCAAAUUUAAUUAAAUGAGUGCAAAGCAAUUAUAAUAAAGUACAAUAGUGUAGUAAUGAAAGGAAAAUAACUCAUUAACCUAUUAAUCUUUAUUUAUGUUCCUCUCAAAUAACUAUGUAAUUUCUUUAUCACCGCAUCCCAUAAGAAAAAGUAGGGUCUCACUGCUCGUGGCCUGGUUUAAAAGGUUCUAUUUGGUUAAGAUGCCUUCACGGCCACCAUUAUAUCAACUUCCCUUAGCUCAGGGCCACCCCCAAUCUCCCGUCAUGCUCUCUACUUGAACAUGGUCUGGAUUUAGCAUUCCUCUCUCACACAUCUCUGACGCUUGUCAUUUGGGCAAGGUAGAUCUCUCUGGAAGCCUAGAUGGGCAGACGCAUCCUCCGACAUCUGUUGAGCAAAGGAAGAGAGAAAAGAGAAUCACUGUGGUUUAGAGAAAGUCCAGGCUUUAAAGUCUGAAGAGGUAUCAGCAAGAGCUAAGAACACCCCAGCAAACACACCAUGGGUCACCUGUUAUGCAGAUGAAGAAGUGGAGUUUUGGAAGACAAAAGUGUUUCGCCUAAGCCUUGCCAUUUACAAGGAGCUGAUCAAGGAUUCUAAUUCAGGUCUACACUGCUUAAAUCCUCAUUUCAAUCCUUCAGAACCUCUCUGUUCAAAGGGUGGGCCACCACUGACUGACAGCUUUGGCAUCUCUUGGAAGCUCAGUUGGUAGAGCCUCAAUCCAGACCAGCAGAAACAGAAAGUGCAUUUGACAGGAUACUCUGGGGAUUUAUUAGCGUGAUGAAGAUUUCAAAGUGCUGGGUGCCACACUGCCUCUCCUGGAGAUAGCAGAGCUCAGACAAGGCUCAGGGGUGGGGACUCUUUCCAGACUCCUCAUACCAAGUAAGAGCUCAACAUUUCCUUACAACUCACAGCAACUUGAGGUGACCUUGGGAUAAUCUGGGGUCAUUAGGCUUGACUCUGGCUGCUAUUUACAUAUCAUUUGAGGUCAGCCCUGCACCUAAUUCCUAAACCUUCACAUUUUCCUACAAGAACUUGGAAAAGAGGGAAGGGGAAAACAUGAAACCCUGAUGAAUGGAAGAAGGAAACAGGUAUUUGUAAAGUUUCUCCUUUGUUCCUAGAGACCAUCCAUGUAUUACUUCAUUUAAUCUCCAUGACAAACACCCUUUUAAGAUAAGGUGACCAACAAGAAGUUUAAGAGUUAUGUCCAGUGUUGCCUACACCUGGUAAGUGACAGAGGUGAGCUUUGCUUGUCUUUAAUGUUUACACAUCUACCAAAUAGCAUUCUCUAAAAAGAAAGGACAGAGAGACCAGGAAAGGCAGGCAAGAUGAAGUGAAAAAAAAGGUAGUGUGACAAUCGUUAGUGCUGUUCAUCCUCCAUUUCCUACUCUUUGAAACACCUUGAGAAUUAUACUUCCUGUCCCCCUUGAAAGUAGGAGGGGACCCUGUGCAUAGCUUUGGUCAAUGACUUGCCAGCAGAUGUUUCAUGGUUUGUUUCAAGUCAGACACUUAAUUGCUUGUGGCUUCUCUACACAGUGUUCUUCUCUCUGCUGUGGUGCUUGGCAAUAUUCAAGAUGGUGGCUGUGCCAUCAGCCUGGUUCCCAGAGUGAGUGAGUGUGCUGACCUCACAUCAACCUGUGGUGAACACAUGAUGAGAGUGACCAAAAAAAACCCAAAAAAACUUUGCUUUUUUGAGCCACUGAAGUUUGAGAUUGUUACUGUAGCAUAACGGAGCCUAUCCUGACUCUACAGAAAAAGAGGGGGAAAAAAAUGAAAAUAUUUAACACUUGUACGUGUAUCUUUUUUUCACUUGAGACUAAGAGCGUUUCUGUGAGAGAGGAAUUAUUCCACAUUAUAUGGACUGAAUGUUUACUAUUUGUUUUAUAGGCAAUUUAACAAAGACACACAAGUGUAAGCGUCCUGCCUGACCAAAGUGGCAAAGUUUGUAAGUGGCAGGGCCAGGUUUGGAAUGCAGGUCUCCUGAUGACUAAUCUUUCCUCAACCCAGAACACUUCCUCCAUGAUGAGACUGGAGCCCUGUUCCCCUGUCCAACACAAGCCUCAGGUUGGUGUAUCUAGCUUUGGGCUAACCCCUCCUUCCCCUCCCCACUCAGGAGGGAUCCAAAUUAUUGGACAAAUAUCAGGUCAAGGGAAAACAGGUCCAUGUAACUGCCAAGAGAUGAGUCCAUCUGAUUUACGCUGGGGGCAGAAACCAGCGAACAAAGUCCAGGAUGAUAUUACUGUGGCCAACUGCAAGGAGACCUACUGCCUGGAAUUGGUCUGUUGCCCUUAUGAUUGUUUGGGGUUGUUUGCAGGAUAGAAAGGCAAAAGUCAUGAUUAAAAGGUUGACCUUUGUAUUUAGCCUCAAAAAUAUUGAGUGUUGGGCUGCAGGUGAGCUCAGUGGCAGAGCACCUGCCUAUCAUAUUUGAGGCCCUGGAUUCGAUCCUCGGCAUUGCAAAAAGAAAAAAAAAAAUAGUGAGUAAUAAUCACACAAAGUCUCUCUUAAACAACUUCUAUUUAACUAAUUCACCAAAUUAACCAAGUCGCUCCCUUCUUCCUGUAAACCACAAUUCCUUUAACCCCAGCAGAUUGAAGGCUCAUGGCAAGUAGGCUACUUUCUAACAUGUCCUUGGCCUGGCUCGAUUGCUACGAGUCCAUCUCAUUUAUUCCCAAACCUAUUUAUUCCAGUUGUAUUUGUUCAUGUAAUCACGCACAUUCUGUAACAUGAGCCAUAAAAGGAACCCAUAUUACUGUGAAAACUAGAUAGAAUACUUUGGAAAGAUUUGAUGAAGGCAAACAGGUAGGAAGAAUAAUGGCAAGUUGGAUGUGGUAGCACACACCUGUAAUACCAGCAGCUUGGGAGGCUGAGGCAAGAGGAUUGAAAGUUCAAAGCCAGCCUCAGUAAUUUAGUGAGGCCCUAAGCAAUUUAGCAAGACUCUGCCUCAAAAUAGAAAAUAAAAAGGGCUGGCAAUGUGGCUCAGCGAUUAGUGCCUCUGAGUUCAAUCCCUGGUACAAAAUAAAUAAGUAAAUAAAAAGUAAAAAAAUUGGCAAAUCUGUAAAACACUAAGGAAAAUUGUGAAGAUUUAUAUGCAAACUGCCCUCAGAAUAUCUUUUAGUUUCUUAAGGUUUCACGUCUUUAAUUUUAAAGACUCUGAAGUUUGUAGAUAAUGCACUGUAAGUGUGGUUUAUGCAAGAAAGAUAAUUUAGAAGUCUUCAUAUUGUAAUGCAAAUUAUUUUUUUCUUUAAAAAAAAGCCUAAGACCCUCAUCAAAUGAUUGGACAAAUGACAUAUGUUUUGUGUUAAAAUAAAAUUUUAAUGUAUCAUUUUUAGUCAUUAUUUCACCACUACCUAUUUGUCUCAGUUGCUUCUGAUAAAAGGACUUUCAUGUAAUUACUUUUUUCAUUUGCCCAUAUCUCCUUCAUCUCAAGGACAUAUUGCCUUAUUUUUAAGUGCAAGUUCCUUUGCAUAUUCUUUGUUGUAUGGUUUAUUCAAUAAUAUUUCUUGAACAACUACUACAUUCAAGAAUCAGGCUGUGGACCCGAUUGAUCAAUGAGCCUGCAGUGGAGAAAACACACUUUAAAUAAAUCAUCCCAGCUGGGUGCAGUGGUACAUGCCUGUAAUCCCAGCAGCUGAAGAGGCUGAGGCAGGAGAAUCAUGAAUUCAAAGCCUGCAUCAGCAAAGAAGAGGCACUAAGCAACUCAGUGAGACCCUGUCUCUAAAUGAAAUACAAAAUAAGGCUGGGGAUGUGGCUCAGGGAUAAUAAAUAUUUUAAGCUUUGUAGGCCAUACAAUCACUGAUGCAGCUAUUCAACUCUGCUUUAUGGAAAUGUGUAUGGCUGUGUUUCAAUAAAACUUUAUUUUUAUAAACAAGUAGCAGACCAGAUUCAGCCCACGAGCCUCAGUUUGCCAACUCAAGCUGUAAGUGAGACAGUUGCUAACUCUGGAGGACAACACCAUCCUUUUUGGUUUCCUUUAGUUCUGUACGCAUCUCUGCAGAAAGUCCCUUUGCUAAACUCUGCUCAAAUUAUCCAAAUUGAGUGUGCCAUCUGUUUCUUGCUAGGACCUUAAUUGAUGUACUUGGCUUUGCAUUUCCCCAACACAAGCUUUAAUUGCAAAGUAAAAACAAUUUUAAAAAAUAACAAAAAUGGAGACUAUGACCUGUUCCUAUGUGGCAGGGACCUGGUGCCUUACAUGUACUCAUUCGUCCCUAAAUACUAUAAAAUUUUUUCGCGAGUUGUAAUAUGCUCUAAAAGUUGACCAGAGAGAAAAUAAAUAAACCUUUUUUCCUGGAGCCUGGAGUUGCAAUCCUGCUGCCCUACUUGUCCACUUCUAAUGGAAUGGAGGUCUAUUCUAAUUAAACAAGAAAAUACAUCUUUUCACAAGGGGAGAACGGAGGGCAUUGUACUCCGGGCCUCAAAGAAAGCAUGCUUUAAUAAGAAUCCUUUUAUAAUCCCGGCUUUUAUUUGUAGCUUCCCAAAGCUUUUGCUGGUAAUAAAAGGAUUGUAAAGUUGACAAAUAUAAGCAGGGACAAAGAAGUUUGGAGAGAUAAUGCCUUGGUGAAUGGGCAAGUAUCUGAAAGUGUAUUGAUCCCACAACACGUAGAAGAUGAUCACAAAAAGCCAAAGCUACCAUCAAUCAGGGUGAUAUUUCUAUUACAAAGUAAAAACCUCUCCAGCUAGCACAGUAUAUUCCUCAUAUCAUGCAGAAUUAUGUUCUGUGUUGAGAAAAGUGAUACAGGUCCAAAUGGCUCUGAAGAGCUGAAUUCAAGUCUAGAAUGAUAGUCCCUCUCUUAACCUACUGCAUUAUUACAUCUAAUCAGUAAAUGGAGCUGUGGCAAGUAAGUGUAUUGUGCCACUAUGAUGAUCAGCAGCAGCAUCCACUGCUCCUUUUGAUGAUAGCUUCCAAUUCCAAUGAGUCUUAUAGCUCAUUUUAGACAGCACAAGGGCGUGGAAGUGAGGGUGUGCACCUUCAGUCUCUCAGAAUCCUUUCACUGUGCAGAAAGCCUGGGCUAGCCUGCUGGAGAAUAGCUACACUCUGGAGGAGAGCUAAGGCAGCCAGCCAACAGCCAGUAGCCACCAGAAGCAUUGCUACUUAGCUGAUCCACAGUACCCUGUAGUUACACCUACACCCCGUGUAGACCAGAAGAACAUUUUACUGAGCCCACAUUAAAUUGCUGGCUCACAGAUAAUGAGCCAAAUACACAGUUGUUUUAAACUGCUCUGUGUUGAGGUGAUACAUUACUCAUCAAUCGUUAACUAAUAUAUACCCACUCACCCCCAGAUUUUUCAUUUAUAUGAGCCAGUAAUUUAUCUUUUUGUUUUCGUCAAUUUAGGUUGGUUAUUCUGUCAUUUGAAGUGAAAAAGAAAAAAAGAUUCCUAAUACAUCAAAGAUAUGCCUUCAUUCCUCCAACCAGAUAGCAUUGUCAGGGAUCUUGUCUUAUCUGGAUCCAAAGCUAAGUGACUUAUCAAUAAAUGUUAAGCUAUUGACAUACAAUAUUGACAGAUUCACAAAUCACAUUUUGAAGAGCAAAGGAUAGAUUUGCCCUCGAAGCUACAAAGUCAUCUCUAGGGGGUAUUGUACUAGACAUGUCUUAUCCUGUCUUAGUCUAUUUUCUGUUGCUGUAGCACAAUACCUGAGGCUGGAUAUAUUAUUUUAAAAAGAGGUUUAUCUAGUUCACAUUUCUGGAGGACCAAGAGCAUGGUGCUAGCAUCUGCUUGGCUUCUGGUGAGCACCUUGUGCUGCAUCAUAUCAUGGUGAGAUGCAGACAGAGAAAGGGCACUCAUGUCAGGAGCAUGUAUUCCAUAGAGACCAAGGGAAGGCAGGAGGGGUUUUUAUAACAACCUAGCCUUGCAAGAAUUAGUCCACUCCUGUACGAACUGACCCAGUCAAGAGAGCCAACUCAGUCUCUGGAGAAAGACAUUAAUCCAUUCAUUAAGGGUAGAUCUCCCUUGAGCUGAUUUUUUCUUGAGGGUCUACCCCUCUCAACACCAUCACAUUGGAGACCAGGUCUCCACCACAUGAACUAGGGAGUCAUACCAUAUUCAAACCAUACUGCCCCCUAACAAAAACCUGAAAGAUACAAGGACCUUCUCCAACCAACACCAUAGACAAAAACAGAUGCAUCUUAUAGUAUCCAAAGAACCCAACUCAGCCGUCGUUCUCAAGGGAAUCCAGAAAAUUCUGGGCCUCAAUUCUACCCUCCUUGCUAUAGAAACCUGAAAUUAAGUGUCAUCUUUUUCUUUCUAAAAUAAAAUACGAGCAUGUACUGUUUCUAGGCAAGAAGCCCAGAUCCAUCUGCCCUUCCUGUCCUCGAGGACACCAUCUAUUCAUUUGCUAUAACUUGCUGCAUUAUUCCUACAAUUUAUUUUCUUAUUUUAAAAAAGAAAGAGCUGAAGCAAGGUUCCCUCAGGGAUCAUACCCUACUCCAGGAAAAAAGGGGAAUUCACCUGACCUACUCUCUCUGUGUCGAAAUGGAAUCCAGCAACCAAUUCUCACCAACUGUGAAUGAAUUUUGAGUAUGCAUUUGGGAAGAGGGAAGGAAGAAGAGGGGGACAUUAUUUUUUAUUCUUAAAUCAGAGGAUAACCAAUCUGUCUCCACCCCAAGCAAAAUUAUAGUUUAAGUUCUUAAAUGACUGAAUUUCCCCCCUCAGAGCUGCAGACAAGGAUCAGAAGGAAGAAAAAUUUGUUGAAGACUGAAAAGAGAAAUAUCCUUGGUGGAUGGAGAUAAUGCGUCUCAGCCCAGAAGUCAGGAGAGGGAGUCACCGGCUGACAUUUAGCCUUCUCUCUAAACUCUCCUAGGCCUCAACGGCUCUGAAUUUCUCCUUUCUUCUCCUCCUCCUUACUCCCAGGCCUGUCUCUUUAGGUUUAAGGAAAAGUCCAAGAUAAUAAAUUCCUUUUACAAGAAAAGAAAGACGGGUUAAUUUGCUGUCUCUCCUCCACCUAGACAACUGGUAUUGGUUCUGAAAAUUGCCACGGAUCGGAAUGAGGCUUAAGCCUGCCUUCUUCAAUGGAGAGACGCCAUAUUGGGGCAUUGGGUGCCAACAGAGAAGAACUUUAGGAGGCAGAUGAGCAGAGGGAACUAG
rnacentral:lncRNA from 1 species